GGAUAGGUGGCAGAGUUGGUAAAUGCAACAGCUUUGAAUACUGUCGGUCAUGUGAAUGGCUUGUGAGUUCGAAUCUCACCCUAUCCG
rnacentral:tRNA from 1 species